AGUAUAGUUGAUUUACAAUGCUUUGUCAAGUUCUGUUGUACCACGAAGUGACCCAAUCACACACAUUUCCCUGUGCUAUACAGUAGGGUCCCAUUGCCCAUCCUUUCCAAAUGUAACAGUUUACAUCCCCAAAACCUCCAAAUGCCCAACCAUCCCCUUCCCUCCCCCUUCCCCUCCGGAAACGCCAAGUGUGCUCUUCUUGGCCAUGAUCUGUUUCUGUUUUUUGCUCUCUUGUUUGUUUGUUUGUUAUUUUUAGAUAGGAUCAUCUGUUCCAUAUUUUAAAUUCCACAAAGAAGUGAUAUCAUACGGCACUUGUCUUUCUCUUUCUGACUGACUUCACUUAGUAUGAGAGUCUCUAUAUCCAAAUGGCAUUAGUUUGUUGCUCCAAAUGGCAUUAGUUUGUCUUUUUAUGGCUGAGUAAUAUUCCAUUGUGUAUAGGACUUGUUCUUCUGGUCAAGUUGGGGGCACUGAGAGGAGGCAUGGAGAUGUGCCAGGCCUCUUGAGGCCUAAACUGAGCACUAGCAGAUACUCACUUCCACCACAUUCGACUGGCCAAAGAAUGUCAUUAGGCCAGCCUAGAUUCAAGGAUGGGGAAGUGGAGUCCACCUCAUGAUGAUAAGAGUUGCAAAGUCACACUGAAAUGCACAUGGACAUGGGGAGGUCAUGAAUGCAACCCAUCCACUAUGUACUGUGAUGAUGCCUAAAACGAUGCUAAGGAAUUCAUGAAAAUAUUUCAUUUGAGCGUCACACUAACCCUGAGAGUCAAGUUCUACUAUCAAUCUUUGUUCUCCGGAUGAGAAAAUUGAGGCCUAGGGAGGUUAAAACUUUCCCUAAGAAAGAUAUACACAAUGGACCAGGAUUUAAACUGGAGGCUCCAGUGCCUGAGCAUCAAACCACUGUUUGGUCCAGCCUGGGCACUUAGAGAGACAGGAUAAAAUGUGGCCACUACAUGCAAGGCACAUGUAGUCCUACUGGGCAUGUAUGACAUACAUCCAAAAAGAAUCAGUUACUGUAUAUGUCACUAAACUACAUUUGCUAACUG
rnacentral:lncRNA from 1 species